AUAUGUUUCUGUCAUUGAGUAACGUAAUGGAAUACAUUUUAAGAGUAACCUUCCCAACACUGGUCUUCACACACAGUUAACACACACAGUUUUUUGACAAGUAAUGUGUUGCGUGACAUAUUCACAUAUAUGUAUGACUGCUGAAAAUGCUCACCAUUGAAAAUAGAUAUAACUUAAAUAAAUGUAAUUAUUAAUCCCUGAGGAAACACAUAAUAUCCUUAGAAUAGGGCACUGGAGGUCGUGACCUAGUUUCUCAAUGGUGCAACUAAAAAAAAUCUUGCGUCACGCUGGUGCGAUUAGCCGUUCAAGAAGAAGAAAAAAACCCAGUCUGAAAGUCUCUGUGUGGUUAACAACAGACACACAUUAUGCCCAUAUCAUGGUCUAAACCAAUCAGAGAUAGUCAAGGGUGGGACCUCUUUUAUUGACUGUGUUCCAGAUAUUCCUGUAGGUGCAGGCGGAGAGAGGGAGGUGAGUGGCCUAGGCCUGAUAGAAGUAGAUGUAGCUGUGGGUAAUGAGAAAAUCUUUUGAGAAAGAUUAAUAAAUUUGUCAUGAAGUUGAGGCUGAUCCAUCCGAAAUUCAUAGCCAGUGCUCUGACAGUGAGCCAUCAACCUCUGAGGUUAUGUUUAACACUGUUUCGGAGACAGCAUUAGAUGAUGAGCCACAUAUGAUCGACUCCGAGCCAGAGCCCGCUGACAGUAAAAGUGGGGCAAGUGUAUACAAUUCAAAGAGAGUGGCUUGACCAGUUUCACUGGCUAAGAUACAGUAAAGCCAGUCAGUCUGCCCCAGGGCAGCUGUGGCUACAACUGUAGCUCGCCUUCACCAGUGUAUGAAUGUGGGAGUAAAUGAAUAGUGGUAUUGUAAAGCGCUUUGAGGGGUCCCGAAAUGCGCUAUAUAAAUGCAAUCCAUUAUUAUUAUUAUUAUUAUUAUUAUUAUUAUUAUUAAAGCUGACAACAUGAUGCGCAGCAUUUACUGUGGUGCAAUGGUGGUUUUUGAUACGGGAGACAUGGGCCAUACCACAGAGUGGCAUCGUGGGCAUCAGCAGAAAAAGAUGCUUGCACCCAUGCUGCCCCGACAUCAUAACAGCUCAAAUGUGCAGUUGAUGUGAUAGUGACGGGCUGCUGAACCAAUCAACUGGAAUUCUUUUGGAACACCAAAAAUACUUUGGCUCACGUGGUUUCAUGGAAUUAUGUAAAAUAGUGUCGUGGAGUGUCAUAAUGCUAUUAAAAUCCUCACAUAUUUGAAACUGUAAAAGACAGACAUAGCUUUGAUUCAAGAGAUGCAUCUUGAUGAGGUGGAAUCAUUAAAGUUGAAAAGAGACUGGGUGUCCCAAGUUUAUCUUAGUGCAUUUUCCAGUAGGAAAAGAGGCGUGGUUAUAUUGAUUAGAAGAAAUUUGGAUUUUCAAGUACUCAAUCAUUAUACGGAUCUGGAGAGUAGAUGGGUGGUCUUGGAUGCAUGUCUACAGGGGCAGAAAGUGACAUUGGUCAACAUAUAUGCCCCCAAUUCUCCUCAACCACAAUUUUUUCAUGAAGUGUGUAGCACAGUGCGGAAUAUUGGAAAUAUAAAUAUUGUAAUUGGUGGGGAUUUUAACCAGGUCAGGGAUGUGUUUUUUGAUUAAUCCUCUCGUCUUAGACCAAAUAAGCACCCUGUAGAUGCUGCUUUGGACGUUGUGUCAGAGGAGCUGAGCUUGUUGGAUAUAUGAAGACUAUAUAUAUAUAUGAAGACCUGUAUCCUCAAGAAAGAGACUAUACUUUCUUUUCCCAUCCUCACUUUACUUUCUGGUGUCUCGCUCUCUGGUGAGUCAAGUUGUCGGGUCCUCCAUUGGUAUUAUUUCAGUAACUGAUCAUGCUCCCAUUGAAAGUUUUGUCCUUGGGAUAAACUAGUCUGUUUUGUUUCGCUUAAUGCGUCUUAUUCUCGAAAAGUAGGAUAGUUGUUUCUGGGGUUUCACCUUAAAGCUUCAUAAUUAUUGUUGUCACUGAGCAGUGUACUGUUUAUUUGCUCUGCUUCUAUUUUUCAGGGAUAAAUUACAUAUCUAUACAUUUUAUGUCCCAGCUAAAUAACAAGUCUGGUGGAGAAGCAGAGGAACAAUUUCAGCCCUUUGGAUUCAGCUCAGCCACUAGAUUGGAAACAAUGACUUCAACACAAAAGGACCAACAUGAGAGCGAGAAGUCAGCGCUCUCAGGAGGCCGACAAACCUCAC